rnacentral:lncRNA from 1 species
AUGGCCGCCUCAGCCGGCGCGCUGCGGUUGGUGCACCGCGCUGAUCCAAUGGCAGGAGCCAGGAGCCAGGUGCUUUUCCUGGUCUCCCAUGGGGUGCAGGGCCCAAGCGCUUGGGCCAUCCUCCACUGCACUCCCUGGCCACAGCAGAGAGCUGGCCUGGAAGAGGGGCAACCGGGACAGAAUCCUGCGCCCCGACUGGGACUAGAACCCGGUGUGCCGCGGAGGAUUAGCCUAUUGAGCCACGGCGCUGGCCGAGAAUCUAAUUUAUUUAAAAAAAAAAAAUUGUGGGCUUAUUUGACAGAGGAGAGAGAGAAUGAGGUCAAUCUUCCAUCUGCAGGUUUACUCCUCUCAUGGCCACAAUGGCUGGGGUGGGGCCAGGCUGAAGCCAGGAGCCAGGAACUCUAUCAGGGUCUCCCAUGUGGGUGGCAGGGACCCGGACACUUUCCUAGGUGUAUUAGCAGGGAGCUGGAUCAGAAGCGGAGCAGCCGGUACUGGAGCUGGCAGUGUGAUGUAGGAUCUGGCGUCGCAAGUGGCCGCAGUGCCAGCCCGGAAUUCCAGCUGUUUACACGUGGGAACGAACAGCCUCAAAACCAUGAUCUCCGCCUGGGAUUAACUGGGGACUGGAGCACGGGACACUUGUGUGCCUUUGGAGAGUCAGAAUUAGGGCAGGUGGGAACGGCUCCUUCUGGUCAUGCUGUCUGCAGCUGCAGUCACAUGUCCGGCCCUUCUCCCCUCACCGUCCCUUUGUCGCUCUGCACAGUCAGGGCCCCCGCCCUGGAGUCUGGACACGCUGUGGUCUCAGAAUUGCACCCUUGCGGCAGCUGCAUUCUUCCAGUACUGUGGAGACGGCCUCCUCACGUCUGUCUUCUGUCAGUCCCUGCAGUUGGAAGUGGCCUUGCUCCCCUGGCUGCGUUGUACAAAAUCACUUCAUUAGAGGGUACUUGCAAAAGUGUGUGGAAAAUUGAAUUAAAAGAUGUAUUCAUUUUGGUGGAAAACAAUGGGAAAUCCAUGCAUCUUUUUUCAUCAUGUACAUCUUCCCUGAACAUUUUGAAGACCCUCAUAUGCAAGGAUUUCAACUUUAUUGUUACCAAGAUAAACUCUGUUUCAUUUGCCAAGUGUGGGGAGCAACUCGGACUGUACUGUUGCUGGAAUUGA